rnacentral:rRNA from 1 species
UACGUAGGGGGCUAGCGUUGCUCGGAAUUACUGGGCGUAAAGAGCACGUAGGCGGUCUUUUAAGUCGGGGGUGAAAUCCUGGAGCUCAACUCCAGAACUGCCUUCGAUACUGGAAGACUUGAGUCCGGGAGAGGUGAGUGGAACUGCGAGUGUAGAGGUGAAAUUCGUAGAUAUUCGCAAGAACACCAGUGGCGAAGGCGGCUCACUGGCCCGGUACUGACGCUGAGGUGCGAAAGCGUGGGAAGCAAACAGG